rnacentral:rRNA from 1 species
UACGUAGGGUGCGAGCGUUGUCCGGAAUUAUUGGGCGUAAAGGGCUCGUAGGCGGUCUGUCGCGCGGCUGUGAAAAACCCCGGAGCUCAACUCCGGGCCUGCAGUGGGGUACGGGGCAGACUAGAGUGCGGUAGGGGGAGAUUGGAAUUCCUGGUGUAGCGGUGGAAUGCGCAGAUAUCAGGAGGAACACCGAUGCGAAGGCAGA